rnacentral:rRNA from 1 species
CUACGGGAGGCUCCAGUGGGGAAUAUUGGACAAUGGGGGAAACCCUGAUCCAGCAAUGCCGCGUGUGUGAAGAAGGCCUGCGGGUUGUAAAGCACUUUCGGUUGGGAGGACUGCUUCUAGCACUAAUAUUGUUGGAAGUUGACGUUACCUUCAGAAGAAGCACCGGCUAACUCCGUGCCAGCAGCCGCGGUAAUACGGGGGUGCAAGCGUUAAUCGGAAUUACUGGGCGUAAAGCGCGCGUAGGCGGCUAGAUCAGUCGGGUGUGAAAGCCCCGGGCUUAACCUGGGAACUGCACCCGAUACUGUCUAGCUUGAGUACAGGAGAGGAGAGUGGAAUUCCACAUGUAGCGGUGAAAUGCGUAGAUAUGUGGAGGAACACCAAUGGCGAAGGCAGCUCUCUGGCCUGAUACUGACGCUGAGGUGCGAAAGCGUGGGGAGCAAACAGGAUUAGAUACCCGUGUAGUC